CAAAUGACUCUCGGCAAUGGAUAUCUCGGCUCUUGCAUCGAUGAAGAACGUAGUGAAAUGCGAUACUUGGUGUGAAUUGCAGAAUCUCGUGAACCAUUGAGUCUUUGAACGCAAGUUGUGCCCGAGGCCUUGUGGUCGAGGGCACGCCUGCUUGGGUGUCAUGGCAUCGUCGCC
rnacentral:rRNA from 1 species